ACACGCAUCCAUCAUGGGGAGCACGGACAACGCGACGAAGAAUAUGUUGAACCAGGACAACCAGGACAUCGUCGACGAAUACGGAGCAAAUCUCAAGAUUCUACCUUGCAACAACCAAGUGAAAGAGUUGCAAACCAUUUUAAGGGACAAGAAUACUACAAGGAGUGAUUUCAAGUUCUAUGCUGAUCGCCUGAUCAGGCUAGUUAUUGAAGAGAGUUUGAAUCAACUGCCGUUUUCAAAAUGCGUAGUAACAACUCCAACUGGUGCUCAGUAUAAAGGUUUAAAGUAUCAGAAAGGAAAUUGUGGCGUGUCCAUAGUAAGGAGCGGCGAAGCAAUGGAACAGGGUCUUAGAGAUUGCUGUCGUAGUAUUAGAAUUGGUAAGAUUUUAGUUGAAAGUAAUGCAGAUACACACGAAGCUAGAGUAGUUUAUGCCAAGUUCCCUGAUGAUAUAUCUGAAAGGAAAGUCUUGUUGAUGUAUCCAAUAAUGAGUACUGGAAACACUGUUAUCAAGGCAAUAGCUGUGUUAAAAGAACACAAUGUGCUUGAAGAAAAUAUUAUCCUGUCGAAUUUGUUCUGUACACCAAUUGCAGCCAAGUCUCUAGUCACUGCCUUCCCUAAGAUGAAGAUCUUAACGUCGGAGAUUCAUACUGUCGCACCAAAUCAUUUUGGACAAAAAUACUUUGGUUCUACGGAGAGAACACGAGCUUAACACGGACGCAGUGGACGUCGGAUUUGACAAUAUUCUGAUCGAGUCUGCUGGCAUACUAGCUAACAUUUUGCUUACUGGGAUACAUAAUUAACAAAUUUUGGCAGGCUCGUUCAUUAUACAUCGUAUUGAAGACACCAAAAUAUACAAAGUUGAAUAUACAGAGAAAGAUGAUUGAGGAACUAGCUACUGUUCCAUUUUUAUCGUCAGAUCUCAAUAAAUUCGAUGAAAUUGCAAAUUUCAUCAGCUUAGGAAGUAAAUGUAUGUCGCAAUAAUUCGUAGGUCAAUCAGAUCAUACAUUAUUUCUAAUCUGAGAGCAUGAGUAAUAUUUUCAGAUAUUAUUUUCAGAUAUUAUGUUAUAAGGGGAGAAAUAUAUAUUUUGUAUAUAUCUGGAAAUAUAUUUGAGAAGUAUAGUAUUUUUGCUGUUUCAGGUUUGCCGUCAGGCUCUAAUGAACGUAUUUUUAAAUAUCCUAUCUAUACUACUCGUUAUUAGCAAUUAAAAAAUAAUAGAGUUAAGAAAGUCUCGUAAACAUAUACUCUAUUUACAAGUUUACAUAUCUCACACACAGGUGAUGUAUUAUAUUUUAUGUUGUGAUUUGUUAAACAGAAAUACUCUGAGGAUACGUAAAUGGAAUCUUACAAAUCUGUAUCAUUAUAUUUAUUGGUAAAUCCUUGUAUGCAUGUAACAAUGUGAUCGCCGUGAUAUAUAUAUAUAUAUAUAUAUGUAUAUAUGUAUAUACAUAUACAUAUAUAAGGAAUACUAUCUUUGUGUAAAUAUGGUUAUGUGUAAUGAUUAUACAUCUCUAAUACAAUAUGUUAAAAUUUAUUUUAACAUUAAUAUUCAAUCUUCUUAUUGUUACCGCCUUCGUUUUUGUAAUAAGAGGAAAGACGUUUUGUUACUACGAAUAAAGUUUUGUCAUUCUUCUUCCUUCGUUUCAGCGGCGAAUAUGUGAUACCCACACAUUAUAUGUC